rnacentral:lncRNA from 1 species
GUGAGUGGAAAAAUACACUGUGGUACAUGCAGGCAGUGACAUGUUACUCAAAAAUGAGCUAUCGGACUGGGGAUUUAGCUCAGUGGUGCCGCUGCCUGCCUCGCCAAGUUCGAUCCCCGGUACCAAAAAUAAAAAAUAAAAAAAGAGCUAUUGAGUCAUGAAAAGACAUAUAGGAAUCAAUCUCUCUCUCUCUCCCUCUCUUCUCUCAUACAUGUCAGGCAAAUGCUGUACCAUCAAACUAACUCCCAGCUUGACAUGAAAGGAACAUGUGACUAUAUGAAAGAAGCUGGCCUGCAAAGAUGACAUACCAUAAGGGCUGUGGUUGGUGGUCUUCAGGCUCUCCUCCUCAGCUUUCCCUGCUGGUCUCUCUCUCUCUGUUGUAGAAAGAAGAAGAGGAGUCAGAAAUGAUGCAAAUGAUGAUGUUCAGAGAUGGGGCCUUCAGGAGCCCAGAGGAAGCAGUGUGCUCCUUUUUGCCACAUGAGGAUACAGUUGCAAAGUGCGAGUCCUCCCCAGACACCCACUCUGCUGGGACCUCGAUCUUGGACUUCAGAACCCUGAGAACUGUGAGUGAUACAUCCUGUUGUUUGUCAAUUACCUACUUUAAGAUAUUUUGUUAUAGCAGCAGAAACAGACUACAAUAGUGGGCAUU